ACCUAGAGCAGACUCAUCACAGCUCUCACUCCUGCCCAUCUCACCAUGACUGCAGGUAUGGUCACCUUUGGAAUCUUCACUGUAAUCGUUCUUGGAUUCACAAUUGUAGCACUGGUAAAUGGUACGGGGAUGAGAAUGGGUGCAAGAGGGAAUCGCAGGGGAUCUUUCGCCAUGUUUUUUGAUGCUGCGGACACUGCCAGGUCUCUACCCCGAGCAGAAUCCCAAACUACGGUGUCCAGAAGAAGAGCUGGUGAACACUGGCAGUGAACAGAAGCAUGUUUCCUUCCUUCCAAGCAGCUUGAUUUGUGCCUUCUCACUGCAGGACCUGGAAAGCCCCCCACUGGCCCUCUGCUACCCCUUUAGCAGAUUUGGAUUAUUACCUUGAGCAAUUAAUGCUUUGAAAGGUUCAAUAAAGUGCACUGCAGGU